rnacentral:rRNA from 1 species
GACGAACGCUGGCGGCGUGCUUAACACAUGCAAGUCGAACGCUGAAGCUUGGUGCUUGCACUGGGUUGAUGAGUGGCGAACGGGUGAGUAAUACGUGAGUAACCUGCCCUUGACUCUGGGAUAAGCCUGGGAAACUGGGUCUAAUACUGGAUACGACAUGUCACCGCAUGGUGGUGUGUGGAAAGGGUUUUACUGGUUUUGGAUGGGCUCACGGCCUAUCAGCUUGUUGGUGGGGUAAUGGCUCACCAAGGCGACGACGGGUAGCCGGCCUGAGAGGGUGACCGGCCACACUGGGACUGAGACACGGCCCAGACUCCUACGGGAGGCAGCAGUGGGGAAUAUUGCACAAUGGGCGGAAGCCUGAUGCAGCGACGCCGCGUGAGGGAUGACGGCCUUCGGGUUGUAAACCUCUUUCAGCACGGAAGAAGCGAAAGUGACGGUACGUGCAGAAGAAGCGCCGGCUAACUACGUG